rnacentral:rRNA from 1 species
CCUUACACAUGCAAGUCGAACGGCAGCACGGACUUCGGUCUGGUGGCGAGUGGCGAACGGGUGAGUAAUAUAUCGGAACAUACCCAGUAGUGGGGGAUAACUAUCCGAAAGGAUAGCUAAUACCGCAUACGAUCUGUGGAUGAAAGCAGGGGAUCUUCGGACCUUGUGCUAUUGGAAUGGCCGAUAUCUGAUUAGCUAGUUGGUAGGGUAAAAGCCUACCAAGGCGACGAUCAGUAGCUGGUCUGAGAGGACGACCAGCCACACUGGAACUGAGACACGGUCCAGACUCCUACGGGAGGCAGCAGUGGGGAAUUUUGGACAAUGGGGGCAACCCUGAUCCAGCAAUGCCGCGUGAGUGAAGAAGGCCCUCGGGUUGUAAAGCUCUUUUGUCAGGGAAGAAACGGAGUUCUCUAAUAUAGGAUUCUAAUGACGGUACCUGAAGAAUAAGCACCGGCUAACUACGUGCCAGCAGCCGCGGUAAUACGUAGGGUGCAAGCGUUAAUCGGAAUUACUGGGCGUAAAGCGUGCGCAGGCGGUUUUGUAAGUCUGAUGUGAAAUCCCCGGGCUCAACCUGGGAACUGCAUUGGAGACUGCAAGGCUAGAGUGUGUCAGAGGGGGGUAGAAUUCCACGUGUAGCAGUGAAAUGCGUAGAGAUGUGGAGGAAUACCGAUGGCGAAGGCAGCCCCCUGGGAUAACACUGACGCUCAUGCACGAA